GCCAACUUUGCUUAAAAAUCUGGAUGAGACAAGGGUAUAAUCAGGACAAGUCAUGGGCAUCAAAGUAAAUGCAAGGGACAAACUUUGCUUUGAGCUGUGAUGUAUAAAUCAGAGUCAUCUUCCUCUGUGUCAGGGAAAAAGCAGCAUUGUAACAUUUGAAUGGGUGAGAUCAGGAUCAAGUUCAAGAGACCUUCUAUCCUGGAAGUAUGGCUCUGGGUAGACAUGAGCACCACCAGUUCUUUGAGGGAGAUGUAUUUGCAACAUGAGAGGGGAAGAUCAGGAGCUGCAGAAAGGCAACUGAGCUCCCCGGGCAGGACAGCUCUGCUGAGUCGUGAAAGACAAGGGCAGCUAACUCCUGCUGAGCUUGUGACCAUGCUGGCAACAUAUUUUCUCCAGAGCUGAAUGGGAACAGUGAAUUAAGAUAAAAUUCUAAGCUAAUUGGAUCAGGCUCUUAAAAUCACUAAUAAAGCACAGUGCGCAGCCUCUUAUUGGAUUAUA
rnacentral:lncRNA from 1 species